UUUAACUAAUGUGAGGGCAAAAUGUGAUCAGAAAAAUCAAGUAAUGUGUUGUGAAUAUUAAUAUUAAACACUAAAGACGUGAAGUUUAUUAAUGCAGUCAUGUUAAAGAGCAGAGGUAAGAUGACUACUGGCCUAAAAUUAAGAAUAGUAAAGUCUAUAAAUGUAUGAAGCAGUCUGAAUCUGUAUUUAUUUCACUGUAUACUAUCUGCACAUUGAGGCGGGACAUUGUGUAUGUUCUUUUUGUCACUGUCUGACACUGUAACUAUGAAUUAACUGUUUUACAAUCACUUUUAUGCUUUCAUGCUCUGACCUGGUAAACUAUCAUUGAUUACUCAUGCAGAAUCUAAGCCUGAUCUCGUUCACAAUGUGACCCAGAGACCCCUUUGUGGCCUUCAACCUGUCAGCAUACAGCAGUGAGGUCUGUUCCCAGGGACAGACAAAAAAUAACAAACAAAAAAAAACAAAAACCCUGAAGUACUUGCUAAUCAACAGAAUGGAGUCGGCAGAACUAAGCUGCUAAUGGGCUAACGGGACUAUUAAUAGUCUGGAGUGGAGGGCUGCUGCAGUGAGCCAAACAUACAAACACAGGGAUUAAAGCUGAAGACCUCCGUGUGACUGUUCUGUGAUUACCUUCCUGUCAACAAACUUUUUAUUUAUUAAAAAUAAAUAAAUAAAAAUAAAACCCACCCUGCACCCUUACAAACACCAAAUGCAGCUGGGCUCUCAUUCAUUUACCAUAUAACCUUUGCUUUAGUGUUUAUUAACGUGAUAAUGGUUGUCAACACCAGCACCACCACACAUGCUAUUCUCUUGGUACUGUUUGCAGCCGUUUCAUUCACUAUUGAUGGCUCUGAUGACAAUGAAUUGCUCUUUAUUAUUCACUAAUGGUUCAAUUACUUCUUUUUUCUGUAUUUUCAAUUAUCUCCAUUUUUUUGUAUUAUUAUUUUUGUAGUAUUAUUUUAAAUUUACUGCAUCGGGAAGAGCCUGAAAAAAACAAAAACAAAAAAAAAAACACCACAACAACAACAAAAGCCUAAAUAAAGAGUGAAAUAGACUAAAAAAUAAAUAAAUAAUAAUAAUUCAUUUAGUUAAUAUUGUUAUAAUUUUUUUUUUUUUUUUUUUUGUUGUUUUUUUCCUCUUUUUUCUUUUUUUUUCUCUUUUUUUUCUUUUCAUGCUUAUAAGUUCACAAAUGUUAAAGACAGUAAUUGUUCUCGGUUGAUUUGUAUAAGCAUGUUAUGUUUAAUUUAAAUGCAGAAAUAAAAUUUAAGAAAAAAAAAAAAACAACAACAAAAGCCAACAUAACUGAAUAAACACAAAUCGUGAAGCGACCUGCUGUGGCGACCCCUUGUGGCCAGGGAGCAAGCUGAAAGUAGCUUUAUGCAUCUUAUUUUCUUAAGUGGUGCUAAAAAACUAAAAGUGUAACCCUUGACAUAAUUUACUAAGCAAGCACAAACAUAAGACAAAGUUACACACUAGAAGUUAUAAAAUCCUGUUGUUUUAUUUGGUUUCUAUAAUAAAUUUUACAUGUGGUCCACAGGGAACCACAACAGUCAGCUCUCCUAUUUAUCAAUCCCCAGUUUCAUCCAAAAAUGUCUUUAUCCAAAUUCUUCUAAAUUUGUUCACUUUCUUUUAAAUUUCUUCUUCUUAAAAAAGAUGAGUGCAACGUUUUUUUUCCAACCACUCAGCUUAUCCACAAAAAGAAAUUAGCUCCAUGCUAAUUGUUUUUAGCAUACGCCAGUGGUUGUAGUAACCCUUGUAGUCAAAAAUGGUCCCUAGGUGAAUAGCAAACAAGUACAUGGGAAUCCCGAGGACACCACACAAACAGUGCAUGCUGACAUGUUAGCGUCAAACAUCAGCAAUUCUGUUAAAUCCUUUCAUAAAACAUGUCGCCUAAUAGUAAGAUUUUAAAAAAAAAAAAAAAUCAUUUUGCUGUUUUAUGGUGUUUAAAAAACUAAACAGUAUGACUUUGAGUGCUCACCAUCAUGCUUAAACUCUAAUCAUGUAGCAAUAAAUGAAAAUGAAGUGCUCCGUUUCACUUUUGGAUGUUAUUAUGGAUUAAAAACAACUAUGACAUGCAGACGUCUGCAGACGGUUUCACUCAGAAACAAGCGGAUAUGUGAAUAAAGAGAGCAGAUAUGAAGUGACUGAUAAAAACUUAUCAAAGGUGGUUUGUUUUUUCACAAUAUGAUCGUACACGUAGCUCUGCAUUCAUUUAUUAUAACACACCGGGUAAUACAGAAGAGUUUUAGAAGCCGAAUUUAGAUGCAACUAUAGUUUUGGCCAGCACAGAUACAAAAAAAGACCAACUAGCAUUAGUACUCUAAACAGGACUGUAACGCUCCACAUGACAACAACUGAACAGCUUCCACAUGAUGUCAGUAAACAAUGCUUGAGGUUUGAAAACGUUAAAACAAUCUAAAAAUAACAUGGGAGUAAAAUAUCGUUUUUUAUUUAAAUUAGAGACUAAGCAGUAAAAAAAGCCAAGUAUCAGUAACAUCAGAAAAUAAGAGGCCAAAAAAAAAGACCUUAAAAGAGCUUAGUGGGGUUUUAUUUGCUCAUCUUCUUUUUCCUUUCUUUUGUAGAGAGGGGCAAAUAAAUAAGAACAAAAUAAACUUGCAGAGUAAUAAUAUUGGUAUAUGAUUUUAAAUUCUGUUUCGAAUCACAAUUUCAAAAUCGUUACAUCCCCAUUUUAAAAUGCAUGCACUACUAAAGGAAGAGUUGAACAUUUUGGGAAAUGUGCAUUUCGUGUUUCAUCAAUACCAUUUUAAAUCACUAACAAAAUUAAGCCGGUGAAGGGCCUUAACACAUCAUUCAUUUAGUGGCCAACAGAGGGCAGCAACUCCAGUUUCACAACUGUAUAAGAAUAAGAACUAUAUUUAUCCCGAGGGAAACUCUUUUGUCAUGUACAUGCUCAAAGUAAUUUUCAACUGUAGAGAGCAUGCUAGACAGGCUGCCAUCUGAGACGGCGCCGUAUAGAUGUCUAAAGGAAAUGGCUCUACGCUCUUUUAAUCUGUGAGUUUACAGAUUAAACACGUGGCCUCGAUCGCUAGUUCCACAUAUUAACUUUGGGUCCAGUUUGUAAGUGGUGACCUCAUUAACAAACCAGAGGCUGCUUUACUUUGUAAUUGACAAGUUGCUAACCUAUGAUUGUGCAAUAUCAUUGGUUUUUUAGUCAGACCCACCCCUCAUUCAUCAUGCACAGUUUCAAAUCAUAAAAAUGGCAAAAACAGAAAAACCCCUCGGCUCAAGCCUUCAUUAACACAAAGGUUGACGCUGAGGUGGUGAUGUCCAUCUUUUAGUUACAGUCUGAUGGCAAGAAAGCAUUGAAGCAAAUACAUUUUUAAAACAGAUUCCCCAAAAUGUUGAACUACUUCUUUACGAAAAAAGGUUUGUCAUUUCAGAAGACGCCCAAAGCCAUCUAUUCAUCCAUCCAUGGAGAUGUAGCAGAAUAAUGCUUAACACAAUGUGUUCUGUGUUUUGAGCUUUUGUUGAAGUAAAUUGCUUAUUUAUUGGGCUUCAUCUGUCUUCCAUUACAGCUUUUGAGUCAAGGAAGAAAAUCAGUUUCAGACAAGUCAAUAAAUCAGUGCAAAGUGGAUGAUUCAUGGAAAAUGCUGGCAGCUCAAACUCUCACCAAAAUCACAUUACAUCAUUAGUAAUCCUCACGUCUCAACCUUAGAUGGCAUUAAAUCUAUCAAAUCACCCGUAGGGAAAGCAAUUAAAUCAUUUGCCAUCUAGAAGCAAUUAGCUUUGUCAUGAGCAGAUCCACUGACAUUUUGAGCUGGACAACACAGACAUUAGCAUGUCAACGAUACCAGUGACUCAAUAAGUUUCUGGUGUCCCAGAUUAAGAGCUGAAACAAUUUGCCAACUGCGCUUUUCUUUGUCUUUGCCUCCAGAUUUUGGAUGAAAUAAUCUAUAAUGGAAACUAGUGUUGGAUAUUUCUUACCAUUUUCUCACAUUAAACGCAAGCAAAAAGCAAUAAAUAAAUGUUAGCUGCAGCUUUAAAGGUGCAGACACACUGAAUGACCAACUGUAAUUAAAGAAUGUGACUGAAAUCUAAAAGAGGAAAAAAACAAAACAUGAAACCAAAAACAAUACAGAGGAAAAGUGCGUUUGACUCAAAGAAGGUGUAUAAAACUGAUGAAGCCAAAAAUCUCUGUAGUGUCUGUAUUUAUUGUGCAAUUCAAGGUGUGUCAACACAAACACUGAUCCAGAUUCACUAAAGCAUGAAGGAAGAGCGAUGCCAAGUGUGCACAAUGAGCGAAGAUGAAGAGGAGAGCCGAAUGCUUCAGGUUAGAUUUAAUCAAUCGUGCUCAUGCAUUGAAUUACUUUAGACAAAGUAUUCCUGGGUGAUUCUGCAAAAUAACAGACAACAGUGAGUGCAUUUGGGGCUUGUAUUUUUAGUCACUGCUGCAAUUAUUCUUGAAGGUACAGCGCUGCCAGGGUCAGGUUAGUACAUAAAGGAGGACUUUCCUGCCCAGAAACUAAGAACAGAUCAGUAAGGAUGCAGGAAUGAAUGGAUCAGUCCUGCAGUUAAAGGGCGAGUGCCUGAAAUUUGCAGUAAAGAUGGUUGAUUGCUUGCUCAUUACUCUUUUUAAAGGCUGCAAAUAAAUGUCCAAAGCAUCCCCAAAUAGAAAGCAAUAGUGGUGCAAUUAAAUCAAGAGAUUGCCCUGCAAUCUAGUCUUAGUGAAUCUGGAGCUGAGUUCAUAGAUCAAGUAACUUUCAGGGUUUCUGCAGUUCUGAAUGUAAGAGGUACAAUAAAAGAAGAAAAAUGGCAACAGACCCGUCUGACACGGUGCAUAGACUGAAAUGCAUAAUAUACACACAGCUUUGACAAUCUGAACCGUGGCUUACAGAGCAAAUGGCAUUUCUAGAAACUAUCGGCCUGGGCUACAUGAAGCUGUCGGCUUUGGUCUACCGAAUAAUCUGACUGCAACACAAAAAAGAAAACAAAACAAAAAAACCCCCGCAAUAUAUAUAUAAAAAAAAUAAGUAAAUCUAACAGAAAGUUAUUUCUAGUUAAAAGACUAUGGCAUCUGUAAUUGUCCAUUUCAGUCGGCAGAUUAUUAUUGGGGGGGUACUUUUUAUUUUUUCCCCGCUGAGGGUGGCACAUGAUGUCAUAAGGGCUCGUGUUCAUUUACAGUUUGCAUGUCUGCAAGCUCAGCAAUUGUCCCAUGUUUGUCGUUUGAGGUGAGUUCCAGUGCUGUACAAGAAGAGGCAUGCAGCCGUACAAGUUGCAUGCGCGCCGGGGUGGAAGCGUCAAGUCCACUCCUGAUCGAAGCUCAAAGAUUAGGCUCAGACAUUUAUUGUUAAAGCAAUGAAAUGUAACAGUGUCCUGAUUGAAAACUUUUUACAUGGUGAAGCAUCUGUUAGACUUCCUGCCGCCUCUGAAGGUUAUUUUAAUUUUUUAUUUAUUUAUUUAUUUUUUACACAACCAUCGAUGGGACUAGUUUGAGACAUUAGAGGACGACAAUGCAACAUUUAACUAAAUGCAAUUGUUCACGAAGAAGAAGAAAUGUGUAGUUCUUGUCUUGCCACUGAUAUGAACACACAAAGAGUGGCAAUGAAUUUACCACCAACGUGUAUGGGUUUCUUCAGAGGGCAACUCCUAGGCAGGUUAACGAGGGAAAACAGAAAAUAGGUGCUCCUACUGGUGACCAAUGGAGUCCAACAUGAUGGGAGGCGGUUAAGAUUGUGACAGGAAAAAAAAAGGUAGUAAGUUCCAGUCCCGGUUUGGAUAGCAGGUAAACAAUCAAAGCCACCUCUACGUGACUUUUUUUUUUUUUCUCGGCCCUCAUGUCCCCAUUUUUGCAAUUUUGCUGGCCAGUGUCAGACCUUUACUGGUUAGAAUGGAAUGGCCAGAAGAGAUGGACUUUAAGCCUAGCCCUGGAUAACUGGACUGCUAUCAAGGUAACAUCCAGCCCAGGCUGGACAUGUGUGAAGGUGGAAGAAGAGAGGAGACUUGUUAGAGGAUGGCUUGUGGUCUUAAUAGCUGGCCUGAAAUUAUCCUCCAUGACGCUCGUAGCAUCUAGUAGGUUAAUCUGCGUGAAUACUUCUCCGUAUUUUAAGUUCCAUGAAGGGAGCCGGGAGCAUUUCAGUGCCCACCUGGCAGGGUUUGUUUGGUGGCUCGGGUAGGUCUGGGUGGAUCAGGCCUGAACUGUGGGUUGGCUGGUGACAGCGGGCUGGUUUCUCUCUGGGUCGCUGGCAGCAGUCAGAUGUGGCUGGGUCAUAAGAGGGGAGCAGAAGGCUGAAGGGGGAAAAAGAGGAAGUCAAAAUCAGAUUAAAAAUAGUUAUAUCAGGUUAAUUACAACUUUAAUCAUACUUCAAGAAGCUUCUGUCUUUUAUUCCAGUCUUGGCAACUGUAUAUCCAACCUUAGCACAUACUGAUGCAGAGACAAGUAAGUGAAAUUCCAACUAUGAGGUUGCUUAGAAUGAGCUUUUCAUAUUUUAUUUUAUUUUUUCCACUGUGUAUGUAGGACACAUACAAACACCUUAUCUAACAACGUAAACCUAACCACACUCUGGCUAUGCAAAUAAUGCACUGCUAUUAUUUGCAUAGCCAAUAACAGCAGUGCAUAGCUUCCACCUAAUCCAAAAGUGUUAUCCUAACUCUAGACAUUCAAUUUAAAUUAAUUUAUAGUAUUGGUAUCCUUGUUGUUACAGACAUUUGAUUCAAUACUUGUGUUGGUGUGUCUGCACUGCUCUGCCAACACAUGUGAAACUGAGAUGUUUAUGUUGGAAUUGGAGCCAAUAAAUAUUUUACUGAGGGGAAAAAAAAAAAAAAAAGACUUCAAAAGCAAGAGAAAACUAGUAUCCAUCUACAUUAGCAGGUCUACAGCCCACACAGUAGAUUUAACACUGUACUGUAGAUCAAGGAAUUAAAAGUUAAUAUUUAAUGACUGAGAAUAGCCACAUCAAAAUGACCGUGAGAAAUGAACAAAAUAAGCUGUUUGUCUGCCCAACCACUAAUUAAGUUACACAGACCACUUUCUCAGUAUGUUCAAACCAACUGUUUAUAUUCCAAGUUUCACUUUUAAAAUCAUCAUCCGUUGUAUCUUACCUUCCUGCUUUUGCUAGUUGAGGCUUAUCCACACCAUCACUUUCCUGUAGAAGACAAAGGCACACUUUCAAAAUUAAGCCAAACAUUGACAUACGGAGCAUGAAAUAAAUAAGGUAUAACUCUUCUGCCCUAUUGUAAGGCCUCGUCUUAUUCUAAGAUAAAG
ensembl:lncRNA